AACGCGAAGAACCUUACCCACCUUUUAAAUCCAGAGAAUCUCUGAGAGAUAGUAAGUGCCUUCGGGAACUCUGAGACAGGUGCGGCAUGGCUGUCUUCAGCUCGUGUCGUGAGAUGUUGGGUUAAGUCCCGCAACGAGCGCAACCCUCCUCCUUAGUUGCCAACGGGUGAUGGGGGGAACUCUAGGGAGACUGCCGGUGAUAAACCGGAGGAAGGUGGGGACGACGUCAAGUCAUCAUGGCCCUUAUGGGUAGGGCUACACACUUGCUACAAUGGCCGGUACAGAGGGCAACCCCGAGAGCGGGAGCAAAUCCCAAAAACCGGUCUCAGUUCGGAUUGCAGUCUGCAACUCGACUCCAUGAAGUGGGAAUCGCUAGUAAUCGCGAUCAGCACCCGGGUCUUGUACACACCG
rnacentral:rRNA from 1 species